UACGUAGGUGACAAGCGUUGUCCGGAUUUACUGGGCGUAAAGAGCGCGCAGGCGGUCGUUCAAGUCGAGUGUGAAAGCCCCCGGCUCAACUGGGGAGGGUCAUUCGAUACUGAUCGACUCGAAGGCAGGAGAGGGAAGUGGAAUUCCCGGUGUAGUGGUGAAAUGCGUAGAUAUCGGGAGGAACACCAGUGGCGAAGGCGACUUCCUGGCCUGUUCCUGACGCUCAGGAGCGAAAGCGUGGGGAGCGAUCCGG
rnacentral:rRNA from 1 species